UACGGAAGGCAGCGGUGGGGAAUAUUGCACAAUGGGCGCAAGCCUGAUGCAGCCAUGCCGCGUGUAUGAAGAAGGCCUUCGGGUUGUAAAGUACUUUCAGUCGUGAGGAAGGUGUUAAGGUUAAUAACCUUAGCAAUUGACGUUAGCGACAGAAGAAGCACCGGCUAACUCCGUGCCAGCAGCCGCGGUAAUACGGAGGGUGCGAGCGUUAAUCGGAAUUACUGGGCUAAAGGGCACGCAGGCGGUUAAUUAAGUUGGAUGUGAAAUCCCCGGGCUUAACCUGGGAAUGGCAUUCAAGACUGGUUAGCUAGAGCCUUGUAGAGGGGGUAGAAUUCCAUGUGUAGCGGUGAAAUGCGUAGAGAUGUGGAGGAAUACCGGUGGCGAAGGCGGCCCCUGGACAAAGACUGACGCUCGAUGUGCGAAAGCGUGGGGAGCAAACAGGGAUUUAGAUACCCGU
rnacentral:rRNA from 1 species